AGCUCCAAUAGUGUAUCUUAAUGUUGUUGCAGUUAAAAAGCUCGUAGUUGAAUUUCUGGCCGGGGGAACCGCACAUGUGUGGAGCCCCUGGUCAUCCGGCCUGGAAGGGAUACUUGUACUUUAUUGGACGGUACCUAGAAGGGUCAUUUUACUUUGAAGAAAUUAGAGUGUUCCAGGCAGGCCUUGCUUGAAUACAUCAGCAUGGAAUAAUGGAAAAGGACAGCGUCCAUUUUAUUGGUUAUUGGAGGUUGUAAUGAUUAACAGGGACAGUUGGGGGCAUUCGUAUUCAUUAGUCAGAGGUGAAAUUCUUGGAUUUGAUGAAGACGAACUAAUGCGAAAGCAUUUGCCAAGGAUGUUUUCA
rnacentral:rRNA from 1 species